UGCACCUUAGUAUAUGAUGUAUAUAGAUUUUUGAUAUCUACGGGAGUAGUUUAAUUCUACUAGGUGCAA
rnacentral:tRNA from 1 species